AACGCAGACAGUGGAUACCUUGGUGCAACCUACCGAAGAAGGACGUACAUGGUCGCGAAAGUCGUCGGGGAGCUGCCACGAAGCUUUGAUCCGGCGGUGUCCGAAUGGGGAAACCCACCGUUUUUACGGAAGCCUUUAUCCAAGUAUUCGCCUUCGGGCGAGUUAUUAAAUUAAGGCAGGGAACCUCCCAAACUGAAACAUCUAAGUAGGGAGAGGAAGAGAAAACAAUUGUGAUUGCCUAAGUAGCGGCGAGCGAAAUGGCAAAAAGCCUAAACCUCACUUUGCUCCGCAAGGAGCUUUGUGAGGGGUUGCGGGAUUCCGAUAUGGGAGUUUAAAAGGUAGCGGAACCAUCUGGAAUGGUGGUCCAAAGAGGGUGAAAGACCCGUACGCAAAACCGAUUAAACCUCUAGGAAUAUCCCAAGUACUACGGAGUAUACCUCUCUGUAGGAAUCUAGGGGAACCAUCCUCUAAGGCUAAAUAUGGGUUGCAACCGAUAGUGAACUAGUACCGCGAGGGAAAGGUUAAAAGAAGGGUGAGACACCCAGUGAAAUAGAACUUGAAACUGUUUGCGGACAAACCGAGAGAGCUUCCCGCAAGGGUAGUGAUCUCGUGCCUAUUGAAGAAUGAACCGGCGAGUUUCCGUUAUCUUUCUAGUCUAACCAGGUAACACUGGGAAGGCGUAGGGAAACCAAGUGCGAAUAGCGCGAUUAUGGAAAGGUGGCGGAAGACCCGAAACCGAGUGAGCUAACCAUGAACAGGGUGAACUUGGUCGAAAGACCGAGGGAGGCCCGAACCCGUGUAGGUUGCAAUCUGCUGGGACGAUUUGUGGUUAGAGGCAAAAUACCUAUCGAACUCGGAGAUAGCUGGUUCUCCCCGAAAGGUCUAUAGGGACCGUGGCCCGCGCACAUGCUUCUGGUAGAGCACCGAAUGGAUGGAAGAGGGUAACCAAUUUCAUUCAAUCGAACUCCGAAUAGAAGUGUUUAGGUGGGCUAGACAGUCACAUCGGGCUAAGCUGAUGUGGCGAGAGGGAAACAUCCCAGAUUUACAGCUAAGGCCUCUAAAUCUAUCUUAAGUUUAAAAGGAAGUUAACUUUCUCAGACAGCCAGGAGGUUGGCUCAGAAGCAGCCACCCUUUAAAGAAAGCGUAACAGCUCACUGGUCUAUUUGAAAGUUAGCGCCUAAGAUUUAUCGAGGAUUAAAGAUAGUGCCGAAGCUUAAAAUUUGCACCGCAAGGUGCAUCUGGUAGGGGAGCGUUCCAUGUGCAGUGAAGCUGACUUGUAAGAGUUGGUGGAGCGCAUGGAAGUGAGAAUGCCGGUAUGAGUAGCGCACAAGAGGGUCGCAAGGUUCGUCCACGACGGGUUAGUCGGUACCUAAGGCGAGGCCAUUAUGGCGUAGCCGAUGGAAGAGCAGUCAAAAUUCUGCUAUUUGUUUUGAAUCGCUAUAGUUGGGGGCUGACCGAAUUGGAUAGUCAGGGCUCAAUCGUGAGUUUGAGUGUAAGCUGUUAGGUAGGAUCAGUUGGUAAAUCCGCUGAGACGAUUAAUCGAGCAGUGAUACAGAGUCUUCCGGAAGGAGGGCAAUCCUGGUAAGUUCUAUUUGCAAGAAAAGGCUCGCAGCAAGAUUCAAGAUAAGCCGUACCGCAAACCGACACAGGUGGGUUGGUCGAGUAGACUAAGGUGAGCGAGAGAAGGAUGUUCAAGGAAUUCGGCAAAAAAGGUCCCUGCAAAGGCGAAAGCCGCGGUAUAGGGGCCGACGCCUGCCCAGUGCUGGUAAGUUAAGGGGAGGGGUGCCCUUUGAGCAAUCAAGGGGAGGCUCUGAACUAAAGCUCCAGUAAACGGCAGCAGUAACUAUAACUGUCUGUGUCGGGUAAGUUCCGACCUGCACGAAUGGCGUCACGAGUUAGUAACUGUCUUGAACAUUCACUCGGCGAAAUUGCGUUGGCUGUGAAGACGCGGCCUAAUUCCACCAGGACAAAAAGACCCCGUGGAGCUUUACUGUAGUUUGGCAUUGAUUUGUGCAUUUUAAUUGUCUAGCGUAGGAGGGAGAGCAAUCGACAAUGUAACACCUCCCUUUGGAAUGUGGCAAAUCUUACCUGGCAGCUCUGCAAACGAGUUGAGGGAAAGUGCUAGAUGGGCAGUUUUACUGGGGCGGUACCCUGCUAAAUUGUAACGCAGGGGCACAAAGGUUGGCUUACCACGGAUGGAAAUCGUGGGGAAAGCGCAAAGGUUUAAGCCAGCUUGACUGCGAGGCCGAAGGGCCGAGCAGGUACGAAAGUAGGUCUUAGUGAUCCUCUGAUGCUUCGUGGGAGGCACAGAGCUUAACUGAUAAAAGCUACCCCGGGGAUAACAGAGUAGUCGCGCCCGAGAGUUCAUAUCGACGGCGCGGUUCGCUACCUCGAUGUCGGCUCAUCACAUCCUGGCGCUGGAGAGGUGCCAAGGGUUGGUCUGUUCGCCCAUUAAAGUGGUACGUGAGCUGGGUUCAGAACGUCGUGAGACAGUUCGGACUCUAUCCGGUGGAAUCGUUGAGUCUUGAAGGGAGCUCUCCUCAGUACGAGAGGACCAGGAGGGGGGAACCUCUGGUGUGCCGGUUGUUACGUCAGUAGCAACGCCGGGUAGCUAUGUUCCUAAGGGAUAACCGCUGAAAGCAUCUAAGUGGGAAGCCCACCUUAAGAUUAGGACUCAUUAUCAGACCCCCGAGACAAGAUCGGGUAUAUUCGGCAGGCAGUGGAAGCGUCGUAAGACGUUAAGCUUACCUUGCACGAAUCGGUCGAGAGACUUA
rnacentral:rRNA from 1 species